UGGCCUACCUAGCCUAUGAUGGAUAGGGGUUCUGAGAGGAAGGUCCCCCACAUGGGAACUGCGACACGGUCCAAACUCCUACGGGAGGCAGCAGUGAGGAAUAUUGGUCAAUGGCCGGAAGGCUGAACCAGCCAAGUAGCGUGCAGGAUGACUGCCUUAUGGGCUGUAAACUGCUUUUUUACGGGAAUAAUUAUGAUCACGUGUGAUUAUUUGCAUGUACCGUAAGAAUAAGGAUCGGCUAACUCCGUGCCAGCAGCCGCGGUAAUACGGAGGAUCCUAGUGUUAUCCGGAUUUAUUGGGUUUAAAGGGAGCGUAGGCGGGAGGUCAAGUCAGCUGUGAAAUGUAUCUGCUUAACGGGUACACUGCAGUUGAAACUGGUUUUCUUGAGUGCGUAAGAGGCAGGCGGAAUUCGUUGUGUAGCGGUGAAAUGCUUAGAUAUGACGAGGAACUCCUAUUGCGAAGGCAGCUUGCUGGGUCGUUACUGACGCUGAUGCUCGAAGGUGCGGGGAUCAAACAGGAUUAGAUACCCUGGUAGUCCGCACAGUAAACUAUGGAUACUCUCUGCCGGCGAUACAUUGUCGGUGGCCAAGCGAAAGCGUUAAGUAUCCCACCUGGGGAGUACGUUCGCAAGAAUGAAACUCAAAGGAAUUGACGGGGGCCCGCACAAGCGGAGGAACAUGUGGUUUAAUUCGAUGAUACGCGAGGAACCUUACCCGGGCUCGAACGGUGCAUGAAUAUACGAGAGAUUGUAUAGUCCUUCGGGACAUGUAUCGAGGUGCUGCAUGGUUGUCGUCAGCUCGUGCCGUGAGGUGUCGGCUUAAGUGCCAUAACGAGCGCAACCCUUGUCAUUAGUUGCCAUCAGNCCAAGCUGGGGACUUUAAUGAGACUGCCACCGUAAGGUGUGAGGAAGGGGGGGAUGACGUCAAAUCAGCACGGCCCUUAUGUCCGGGGCGACACACGUGUUACAAUGGGANNUACAGAGGGCAGCUAUCCGGUGACGGAAUGCUAAUCUCCAAAACCUUUCUCAGUUCGGAUUGGAGUCUGCAACUCGACUCCAUGAAGGUGGAUUCGCUAGUAAUCGCGCAUCAGCCAUGGCGCGGUGAAUACGUUCCCGGGCCUUGCACUCACCGCCCGUCAAG
rnacentral:rRNA from 1 species